rnacentral:rRNA from 1 species
UACGUAGGGGGCUAGCGUUGUCCGGAAUCAUUGGGCGUAAAGCGCGUGUAGGCGGCUCGGUAAGUCCGCUGUGAAAGUCGGGGGCUCAACCCUCGAUGCCGGUGGAUACUGUCGGACUAGAGUACGGAAGAGGCGAGUGGAAUUCCUGGUGUAGCGGUGAAAUGCGCAGAUAUCAGGAGGAACACCCGUAUGCGAAGGCAGCUCGCUGGGACGUUACUGACGCUGAGACGCGAAAGCGUGGGGAGCAAACAGG